rnacentral:rRNA from 1 species
GAGUUUGAUCCUGGCUCAGGAUGAACGCUAGCGACAGGCCUAACACAUGCAAGUCGAGGGGCAUCGGGGAGCGAAGCUUGCUUUGCUCCGCCGGCGACCGGCGCACGGGUGAGUAACGCGUAUGCAACCUGCCCGUUUCAGCGGGAUAACCCGGAGAAAUCCGGCCUAAUACCGCAUGUGGCCAAGGGAAGGCAUCUUCUUUCGGCCAAAGGAGGCGACUCCGGAGACGGAUGGGCAUGCGUGACAUUAGCUUGUUGGCGGGGUAACGGCCCACCAAGGCGACGAUGUCUAGGGGUUCUGAGAGGAAGGUCCCCCACACUGGUGCUGAGACACGGACCAGACUCCUACGGGAGGCAGCAGUGAGGAAUAUUGGUCAAUGGGCGAGAGCCUGAACCAGCCAAGUCGCGUGAAGGAUGACGGCCCUACGGGUUGUAAACUUCUUUUGUCAGGGAGCAAUUGAGUCCACGUGUGGGCUUAGCGAGAGUACCUGAAGAAAAAGCAUCGGCUAACUCCGUGCCAGCAGCCGCGGUAAUACGGAGGAUGCGAGCGUUAUCCGGAU